GACGAACCGUGCGAACGUUAUUCGGAAUCACUGGGCUUAAAGCGCGUGUAGGCGGAUGGGGACGUCGGUCGCUGAAAUCCCCCGGCUCAACCGGGGAACGGGCGCCGAAACGCCCCGUCUGGAGGGACGUAGGGGGGACCUGGAACUUCCGGUGGAGCGGUGAAAUGCGUUGAGAUCGGAAGGAACGCCCGUGGCGAAAGCGAGGUCCUGGACGUCUGCUGACGCUGAGACGCGAAAGCUAGGGUAGCGAACGGGGA
rnacentral:rRNA from 1 species